UAUUGGACAAUGGGGGCAACCCUGAUCCAGCCAUGCCACUUGUGUGAAGAAGGCCUUUUGGUUGUAAAGUACUUUAAGCAGUGAAGAAGACUCCAUGGUUAAUACCCACGGACGAUGACAUUAGCUGCAGAAUAAGCACCGGCUAACUCUGUGCCAGCAGCCGCGGUAAUACAGAGGGUGCAAGCGUUAAUCGGAAUUACUGGGCGUAAAGCGAGCGUAGGUGGCUUGAUAAGUCAGAUGUGAAAUCCCCGGGCUUAACCUGGGAACUGCAUCUGAUACUGUUAGGCUAGAAUAGGUGAGAGGAAGGUAGAAUUCCAGGUGUAGCGGUGAAAUGCGUAGAGAUAUAGAGGAAUAACGAUGGCGAAGGCAGCCUUCUGGCAUCAUAUUGACACUGAGGUUCGAAAGCGUGGGUAGCAAACAG
rnacentral:rRNA from 1 species